CUACUUCACUAAAUUCAAAUUUGAGUUUUCUAUUUAAAUUAAAAUUCAGGAACAGACUUGAAAUGUAAAAAUCUGUUUUUUAAUUUUCUAAUUUAAAAUUCUAAUUCUAAAUUUCUGGUUUAAAUGUUUUAUUUAUUUAUUUAUUUAUUUAUUUAUUUAUUUUUUUACCAAAAAUAAAUAUUGUAUAGGAUUUUCUAUUGUGUUAAUGAAAUGUUUGUGGAUGUUUGUUGCAGUGCAUUCUGGGAUUGCCUUAAAUAUUAAUUUGAUGUUGCUUUAAAACUUGGCUUUUUAGAAGGCAGAAUAAUGUUAAAAUAACUUAAAAAUCAUACGGUAAAAGCAUGAUGCUAGCAACUUCAUGGACAUGGGUUUGAUUCCCAGGGAGCACAUGAACUAAUUCAAAUCUAUUCUGCGUCUGUGAAAGGUUUUGAGUGAAAUCGGCCCAGCUGGACACGUCACGUGAGCCGCCCAUAUCGCAAGGUUUUGCGGCGGUUCGCUCGGGGACCUGCUAAAGCGUACGGGAACGAAGCCGAGGGUUAAAGGUCAUUUGCGACGAGAGCUUUGGGGUCCUCCGGAGAAAGCUGCCCUGUCUGAAGGGGUCGACGCCAGGUACCCAAAUGACAGAGCAGGUGAGGAGAGCGAGAAUCCAGAGAGAGUGACAGAAAGCCAAGACGCUGAGCGAUGCAGAAGUUGAUGGUGUCUCCGCGAUGAGUUUCUUCCUCCCAUAUUGCCCAGCCCACAGCGCUCCAACGUCUCUGCUAUGCUACGCCACGAUGAUCUGCUCUCUGUGCGAGAUGUAUCACGGUUCCAGACCAAUCGCGGUGGGGGUGGAAGUAGGUGGAAGUAAGCGGACCGAAGGCUAAACGCUAAAGCCGAACACGUGUAACCAUCUGGUGUGGAGAGCAGAGGUUGAGCAGAGGCUCGGCUGGGGCCAGGAGUCUGUCAUACUCGCUCUGUGUCAGCUGGAGAGAGAUGGAGCGCUCAGGACAGCCUGACCAGCAUCUGAAGCACAGCCCAACAGAGAGACAGUCAUAGCGGGCGUUUCUACUAAUGGACAAACAAUUUGUAUAAUAAUAAUAAUAAUAAUAUACUUUGAUAGUAAAGUAAUAAAUAUAUCUAUUUGUGUAAUAUUUUAUAAUUU
ensembl:lncRNA